rnacentral:tRNA from 1 species
GGGCGUAUGGUGAAAUUGUCAAACACGCUUGUCUUAGGAACAAGUGCUUAAAUGCUUCUGGGUUAGAGUCCCAGUAUGCCCA